rnacentral:tRNA from 1 species
GGAGAGAUGACCGAGUUGGCCGAAGGUGCACGACUGGAAAUCGUGUGUACCGAAAGGUACCUGGAGUUCGAAUCUCCAUCUCUCCG